CCGGCUUGGUCCCGGUAAUUAAAGAUUUAUCGCUCUGGGAGGGGCCUGCGUCUGAUUAGCUAGUUGGUGAGGUAAAAGGCUCACCAAGGCGACGAUCAGUAGCUGGAUCGAGAGGUUGACCAGCCACACUGGGACUGAGAUACGGCCCAGACUCCUACGGGAGGCAGCAGUAAGGAAUAUUCCACAAUGGGGGAAACCCUGAUGGAGCAAUGCCGCGUGCAGGAUGAAGCGUUUCGGCGUGUAAACUGCUUCUAAACGGGAAGAUUAUGACGGUACCGUUAGAAUAAGGACCGGCUAAUUACGUG
rnacentral:rRNA from 1 species